rnacentral:rRNA from 1 species
GUGGGCAAUCUGCCCUUCACUCUGGGACAAGCCCUGGAAACGGGGUCUAAUACCGGAUAUGACCAUCUUGGGCAUCCUUGAUGGUGUAAAGCUCCGGCGGUGAAGGAUGAGCCCGCGGCCUAUCAGCUUGUUGGUGAGGUAAUGGCUCACCAAGGCGACGACGGGUAGCCGGCCUGAGAGGGCGACCGGCCACACUGGGACUGAGACACGGCCCAGACUCCUACGGGAGGCAGCAGUGGGGAAUAUUGCACAAUGGGCGAAAGCCUGAUGCAGCGACGCCGCGUGAGGGAUGACGGCCUUCGGGUUGUAAACCUCUUUCAGCAGGGAAGAAGCGAAAGUGACGGUACCUGCAGAAGAAGCGCCGGCUAACUACGUGCCAGCAGCCGCGGUAAUACGUAGGGCGCAAGCGUUGUCCGGAAUUAUUGGGCGUAAAGAGCUCGUAGGCGGCUUGUCACGUCGAUUGUGAAAGCCCGAGGCUUAACCUCGGGUCUGCAGUCGAUACGGGCUAGCUAGAGUGUGGUAGGGGAGAUCGGAAUUCCUGGUGUAGCGGUGAAAUGCGCAGAUAUCAGGAGGAACACCGGUGGCGAAGGCGGAUCUCUGGGCCAUUACUGACGCUGAGGAGCGAAAGCGUGGGGAGCGAACAGGAUUAGAUACCCUGGUAGUCCACGCCGUAAACGGUGGGAACUAGGUGUUGGCGACAUUCCACGUCGUCGGUGCCGCAGCUAACGCAUUAAGUUCCCCGCCUGGGGAGUACGGCCGCAAGG